GCUGCGGGGCAGGCUAUGCAAUGAGGGCAAAGGCGAGCUGAGGACGGGACCCGGAAGAACUGGGGUGCUGAGAACCCGCAGUUGGAGGGAAACGGGGGACCAGGGAAGCGACGCGGCAGCUGAUUGGGUCGUUUGAAUGAGACGCCUGGCAUGCGCGCGCGCCCCAACGCCGAGGAAGUCGCGGACAAGAGUAACGGUCGCCCAGGGGGCGGGGCUGAGGACAGAAAGGUUGAACAUCCUUUUAUCCUGUGUUAAUUCCAGAAGGUUCUCUAGUCCAUGGCAGCCUGACUCUAAAGCAGUCAAGCAUUUCCUUUCCAACUUGAAGGUCUGCACCCCUGGGUAGGGAACUGACAGGAAUCACUUUCCUGUGUUUCCACAGCUGCUGAAGCUUGAGUUCCUGGGUAGAGACACCACCUCCCCGUUGGAGGUGAUGACACCAUGGUUAUGGUGGAUCUCAGUGGAUGAUGGCACACUGGCUCUCAUGGACCUUAGGACAUGGAGACACUGGAGUUGAAG